GCGAACAGACGAGGAGCUUGCUCCUCUGACGUUAGCGGCGGACGGGUGAGUAACACGUGGAUAACCUACCUAUAAGACUGGGAUAACUUCGGGAAACCGGAGCUAAUACCGGAUAAUAUAUUGAACCGCAUGGUUCAAUAGUGAAAGACGGUUUUGCUGUCACUUAUAGAUGGAUCCGCGUCGCAUUAGCUAGUUGGUAAGGUAACGGCUUACCAAGGCAACGAUGCGUAGCCGACCUGAGAGGGUGAUCGGCCACACUGGAACUGAGACACGGUCCAGACUCCUACGGGAGGCAGCAGUAGGGAAUCUUCCGCAAUGGGCGAAAGCCUGACGGAGCAACGCCGCGUGAGUGAUGAAGGUCUUCGGAUCGUAAAACUCUGUUAUUAGGGAAGAACAAAUGUGUAAGUAACUAUGCACGUCUUGACGGUACCUAAUCAGAAAGCCACGGCUAACUACGUGCCAGCAGCCGCGGUAAUACGUAGGUGGCAAGCGUUAUCCGGAAUUAUUGGGCGUAAAGCGCGCGUAGGCGGUUUUUUAAGUCUGAUGUGAAAGCCCACGGCUCAACCGUGGAGGGUCAUUGGAAACUGAAAAACUUGAGUGCAGAAGAGGAAAGUGGAAUUCCAUGUGUAGCGGUGAAAUGCGCAGAGAUAUGGAGGAACACCAGUGGCGAAGGCGACUUUCUGGUCUGUAACUGACGCUGAUGUGCGAAAGCGUGGGGAUCAAACAGGAUUA
rnacentral:rRNA from 1 species